AGAGUUUGAUCCUGGCUCAGGACGAACGCUGGCGGCACGCUUAACACAUGCAAGUCGAACGAGAGAAGAGGAGCUUGCUUUUCUGAUCUAGUGGCGGACGGGUGAGUAACACGUGAGCAAUCUGCCUUUCAGAGGGGGAUACCGAUUGGAAACGAUCGUUAAUACCGCAUAACAUAAUUGAACCGCAUGAUUUGAUUAUCAAAGAUUUAUCGCUGAAAGAUGAGCUCGCGUCUGAUUAGCUAGUUGGUAAGGUAACGGCUUACCAAGGCGACGAUCAGUAGCCGGACUGAGAGGUUGAUCGGCCACAUUGGGACUGAGACACGGCCCAGACUCCUACGGGAGGCAGCAGUGGGGAAUAUUGCACAAUGGAGGAAACUCUGAUGCAGCGAUGCCGCGUGAGGGAAGAAGGUUUUAGGAUUGUAAACCUCUGUCUUCAGGGACGAAAAAAGACGGUACCUGAGGAGGAAGCUCCGGCUAACUACGUGCCAGCAGCCGCGGUAAUACGUAGGGAGCGAGCGUUGUCCGGAAUUACUGGGUGUAAAGGGAGCGUAGGCGGGAUCGCAAGUCAGAUGUGAAAACUAUGGGCUUAACCCAUAAACUGCAUUUGAAACUGUGGUUCUUGAGUGAAGUAGAGGUAAGCGGAAUUCCUAGUGUAGCGGUGAAAUGCGUAGAUAUUAGGAGGAACAUCAGUGGCGAAGGCGGCUUACUGGGCUUUAACUGACGCUGAGGCUCGAAAGCGUGGGGAGCAAACAGGAUUAGAUACCCUGGUAGUCCACGCCGUAAACGAUGAUUACUAGGUGUGGGGGGACUGACCCCUUCCGUGCCGCAGCAAACGCAAUAAGUAAUCCACCUGGGGAGUACGACCGCAAGGUUGAAACUCAAAGGAAUUGACGGGGGCCCGCACAAGCAGUGGAGUAUGUGGAUUAAUUCGAAGCAACGCGAAGAACCCUACCAGGUCUUGACAUCGUAUGCAUAGCUCAGAGAUGAGUGAAAUCUCUUCGGAGACAUAUAGACAGGUGGUGCAUGGUUGUCGUCAGCUCGUGUCGUGAGAUGUUGGGUUAAGUCCCGCAACGAGCGCAACCCUUACUGUUAGUUGCUACGCAAGAGCACUCUAGCAGGACUGCCGUUGACAAAACGGAGGAAGGUGGGGAUGACGUCAAAUCAUCAUGCCCCUUAUGACCUGGGCCUCACACGUACUACAAUGGCUGUCAACAGAGGGAAGCAAAGCCGCGAGGUGGAGCGAACCCCUAAAAGCAGUCUUAGUUCGGAUUGUAGGCUGCAACCCGCCUACAUGAAGUCGGAAUUGCUAGUAAUCGCAGAUCAGCAUGCUGCGGUGAAUACGUUCCCGGGCCUUGUACACACCGCCCGUCACGCCAUGGGAGUCGGUAACACCCGAAGCCUGUAGUCUAACCGCAAGGAGGACGCAGUCGAAGGUGGGAUUGAUGACUGGGGUGAAGUCGGAACAAGGUA
rnacentral:rRNA from 1 species